GACGAACGCUGGCGGCGUGCUUAACACAUGCAAGUCGAGCGGUAAGGCCCUUUCGGGGGUACACGAGCGGCGAACGGGUGAGUAACACGUGGGUGACCUGCCCUCAGCUCUGGGAUAAGCCUGGGAAACUGGGUCUAAUACUGGAUAUGACUCCACGGUGCAUGUCGUGGGGUGAAAGCCUUGUGCGGCUCAGGAUGGGCCCGCGGCCUAUCAGCUUGUUGGUGGGGUGAGGCCUACCAAGGCGACGACGGGUAGCCGGCCUGAGAGGGCGACCGGCCACACUGGGACUGAGACACGGCCCAGACUCCUACGGGAGGCAGCAGUGGGGAAUCUUGCGCAAUGGGCGAAAGCCUGACG
rnacentral:rRNA from 1 species